UACGUAGGUGUCAAACGUUGUCCGGAUUUAUUGGGCGUAAAGAGCCCGCAGGCGGCUCUGUAAGUUCUAAGUGAAAUCUCCCGGCUCAACUGGGAGGGGUCUUGGAAAACUGCAGGGCUUGAGGCAGGGAGAGGGAUGUGGAAUUCCAGGUGUAGCGGUGGAAUGCGUAGAUAUCUGGAGGAACACCAGUGGCGAAGGCGGCAUCCUGGCCCUGUCCUGACGCUGAGGGGCGAAAGCGUGGGGAGCAAAC
rnacentral:rRNA from 1 species